rnacentral:rRNA from 1 species
AACGACUCUCGGCAACGGAUAUCUCGGCUCUCGCAUCGAUGAAGAACGUAGCGAAAUGCGAUACUUGGUGUGAAUUGCAGAAUCCCGUGAACCAUCGAGUCUUUGAACGCAAGUUGCGCCCCAAGCCUUUUGGYCAAGGGCACGUCUGCCUGGGUGUCACAA